rnacentral:tRNA from 1 species
GGGUCCGUAGCCGUGAGGUUACGCUUUCGCUUCAUAAGCGAAAGGUUAUGGGUUCGAUUCCCAGCCCCUCCA